GGGCUCGCAGGCGGUUUCUUAAGUCUGAUGUGAAAGCCCCCGGCUCAACCGGGGAGGGUCAUUGGAAACUGGGGAACUUGAGUGCAGAAGAGGAGAGUGGAAUUCCACGUGUAGCGGUGAAAUGCGUAGAGAUGUGGAGGAACACCAGUGGCGAAGGCGACUCUCUGGUCUGUAACUGACGCUGAGGAGCGAAAGCGUGGGGAGCGAACAGGAUUAGAUACCCUGGUAGUCCACGCCGUAAACGAUGAGUGCUAAGUGUUAGGGGGUUUCCGCCCCUUAGUGCUGCAGCUAACGCAUUAAGCACUCCGCCUGGGGAGUACGGUCGCAAGACUGAAACUCAAAGGAAUUGACGGGGGCCCGCACAAGCGGUGGAGCAUGUGGUUUAAUUCGAAGCAACGCGAAGAACCUUACCAGGUCUUGACAUCCUCUGACAAUCCUAGAGAUAGGACGUCCCCUUCGGGGGCAGAGUGACAGGUGGUGCAUGGUUGUCGUCAGCUCGUGUCGUGAGAUGUUGGGUUAAGUCCCGCAACGAGCGCAACCCUUGAUCUUAGUUGCCAGCAUUCAGUUGGGCACUCUAAGGUGACUGCCGGUGACAAACCGGAGGAAGGUGGGGAUGACGUCAAAUCAUCAUGCCCCUUAUGACCUGGGCUACACACGUGCUACAAUGGACAGAACAAAGGGCAGCGAAACCGCGAGGUUAAGCCAAUCCCACAAAUCUGUUCUCAGUUCGGAUCGCAGUCUGCAACUCGACUGCGUGAAGCUGGAAUCGCUAGUAAUCGCGGAUCAGCAUGCCG
rnacentral:rRNA from 1 species